UCCCUUGUGGUGCUGGAGACUCACGGGAGACCGCCGGGGUCAACUCGGAGGAAGGUGGGGACGACGUCAAGUCAUCAUGCCCCUUAUGUCUUGGGCUGCACACGUGCUACAAUGGCCGGUACAAUGAGCUGCGAUACCGCGAGGUGGAACGAAUCUCAAAAAGCCGGUCUCAGUUCGGAUUGGGGUCUGCAACUCGACCCCAUGAAGUCGGAGUCGCUAGUAAUCGCAGAUCAACGUGGCUGCGGUGAAUACGUUCCCGGGCCUUGUACACACCUCCCGUCAGGUCACGAAAGUCGGUAACACCCGAAGCCGG
rnacentral:rRNA from 1 species